rnacentral:misc_RNA from 1 species
ACUAGAAAUUGUUGUUAAGGAACCAUCUGUUAUACGGACUUUUUCUUUUCCUAACAUGGAGAAUGGGUAGAGAAUUUAUUUGAAUAGCUUGUUGUAUGUUUAUUUGUUUCAGAAUUUAUAAUCCAACAAGAUUUAUCAAGAUUAGCAAGAAAAAUAUUACUUGAUUUGACAAAAUUGGAAGGGACAAUUGUGGAAGAUUGAGAUUCAA